UACGGAGGGUGCGAGCGUUGUCCGGAAUCACUGGGCGUAAAGGGCGCGUAGGUGGCGCGGGCAGUCAACGGUGAAAGUUCGGGGCUCAACCCUGAAUCGGCCGUCGAUACUCCCGUGCUUGAGCACUGUAGAGGCAGAUGGAAUUCCCGGGUGUAGCCGGUGGAAUGCGUAGAGAUCCGGAAGAACACCGGUGGCGAAGGCGGUCUGCUGGGCAGUAGCUGACACUGAGGCGCGACAGCGUGGGGAGCGAACAGG
rnacentral:rRNA from 1 species